AGACAGCAGUCGCCGCGGUAAUACGUAGGUGGCAAGCGUUAUCCGGAAUUAUUGGGCGUAAAGCGCGCGUAGGCGGUUUCUUAAGUCUGAUGUGAAAGCCCACGGCUCAACCGUGGAGGGUCAUUGGAAACUGGGAAACUUGAGUGCAGAAGAGGAAAGUGGAAUUCCAUGUGUAGCGGUGAAAUGCGCAGAGAUAUGGAGGAACACCAGUGGCGAAGGCGACUUUCUGGUCUGUAACUGACGCUGAUGUGCGAAAGCGUGGGGAUCAAACAGGAUUAGAUACCCCAGUAGUCCCUGUCUCUUAUAC
rnacentral:rRNA from 1 species